GUGCUCACUUCUGCAGCACAUGUACUAAAAUUGGAAUAAUACAGAGAAGAUUAGAAUGUCCCCUGUGCAAGGAUGACACACAAAUUUGUGAAGCAAUCCUUAUUUUG